GUGAAUCAUCAAAUUUUUGAACGCAAAUUGCACUCUCCGGUUUUCCGGGAGAGUAGGCCUUUUUGAGGGUGGGCCUAAAAAAAAUCGACAUGGUGGCUGUUUUAUGGUGACUUUCGUCGGGGAUGGGUUAUCUUAAAUCUAGGUUUAAGCGACUUAAAAAUUUUUUUUACUGUUCUAAGAAUGUUUCUAAGAUUUUUCCUGUACGUUUAAGGUAUCAAAUGUCUUAUUAAGCUUUGACGUCAUAGU
rnacentral:misc_RNA from 1 species